ensembl:snRNA U6 U6 spliceosomal RNA
GUGCUUGCUUCAGCAGCACAUAUACUAUAACUGGAACAGUAAAAAUAUUAGCAUGACCUCUGUGCAAAGAUGGUAGGCAAAUUCGUGAAGCGUUUCAUGUAUUU